rnacentral:rRNA from 1 species
UGGGGAAUUUUUGGACAAUGGGCGAAAGCCUGAUCCAGCAAUGCCGCGUGCAGGAUGAAGGCCUUCGGGUUGUAAACUGCUUUUGUACGGAACGAAAAAGCUCCUUCUAAUACAGGGGGGCCCAUGACGGUACCGUAAGAAUAAGCACCGGCUAACUACGUGCCAGCAGCCGCGGUAAUACGUAGGGUGCGAGCGUUAAUCGGAAUUACUGGGCGUAAAGCGUGCGCAGGCGGUUAUGUAAGACAGAUGUGAAAUCCCCGGGCUCAACCUGGGAACUGCAUUUGUGACUGCAUGGCUAGAGUACGGUAGAGGGGGAUGGAAUUCCGCGUGUAGCAGUGAAAUGCGUUAGAUAUGCGGAGGAACACCGAUGGCGAAGGCAAUCCCCUGGACCUGUACUGACGCUCAUGCACGAAAGCGUGGGGAGCAAACA